CACGUAGUUAGCCGGGGCUUUCUUCUCAGGUACCGUCACUCCGGUAGCAGUUACUCUACCGGACGUUCUUCCCUGGCAACAGAGCUUUACGAUCCGAAAACCUUCAUCACUCACGCGGCGUUGCUCCGUCAGGCUUUCGCCCACUGCGGAAGAUUCCCUACUGCUGCCUCCCGUAGGAGUCUGGGCCGUGUCUCAGUCCCAGUGUGGCCGAUCACCCUCUCAGGUCGGCUACGCAUCGUCGCCUUGGUGAGCCGUUACCCCACCAACUAGCUAAUGCGCCGCAGGCCCAUCCUUCAGUGACAGAUUGCUCCGUCUUUCGUUCAUUUCCCAUGCGAGAAUUGAAAGUAUCCGGUAUUAGCUACCGUUUCCGGUAGUUAUCCCAGGCUAAAGGGCAGGUUGCCUACGUGUUACUCACCCGUCCGCCGCUAAGUUUCAAAGAAGCAAGCUUCUUAUCGACUCCGCUCGACUUGCAUGUAUUAGGCACGCCGCCAGCGUCUCGUCGUAGCCACG
rnacentral:rRNA from 1 species